CGGAGUGAGGCUCUGGGGACCAGCUCGACUGCAGAGGCAACGUCGAGGUUCAGACAGAGAAUGACUUCGUGUUGAUACAUAAAAGCCUUCGGGUUUCUGAACAGAUUAUUCAAGAUAAGAUUGUAGCCAUUUUCAACAAGGAUCACAGAUCGAAAUUGUUCUUUUUAAAAAGAGAUUUACAAGUUAAACAUGAAGGGAAAACACUGGAAUCAUUUGGAUUCUGACAGGAUAAAGAAUACAGUAUUUCACAGUUAAGAUUCAUCACUUGUCAUUCACCAGUUGGGAACAUGGAUGUUGGUUUCUCUCGUACUGCUGUUCAGACACUGUCAAGAAGCCACUGCAAAAACAUCAAACAAAAAAUUUCUCAAUGGGAAGGAAGGGCUAAUGGUAUAUCUAAUCCAGAAAAGUGGUAUCCAAAGGACUUUGGAGUGAGAUAUAACUGUCACCAUGAGAUCCUUCCUAAGAAAAAUCUUGUUGCUGAGAAAAAGAGCAAAAACUUGGAUGUAACUAGCUGUGAGAAUGUGGGUCUAGGUAUAAAUGAAGAUGCCAAAAGCCACGAUCAAAGUGGUAACGAUAGUAAGAGAUAUGAAUAUGAUGAUGCACGCUUCUCUCCAAAUGAAUCCAAAUCCAACUGUGUCUGUUCUCGGGUCAAAGCAAUCGAAAGCUCCAAAGAAGAUGUCUUGGAUUCAGAGACUUCAUUACCUCCAGGAAACUUCUAUACCUCACAAAUACUGUGGAAGAAAAUAGAAGCACUUCCCCCAGAUAAACUCUUAAAUUUGGCUUUAGAACAUUGUGACUCUUCAGAAAAAGAACUGAACUUCAGAGUUCUGGAUAGUUCAUAUGGAAUAACCAAGAGCUUAGAAAAUAUUUACUCUGAACCUGAGGGGCAAGAAUGUGGACCUUCUAUAAAUCCUUUGCCAAAACCUCGUAGGACAUUCAGAUAUUUAUCCGAAUCUGGUGUUACGCCACAUAAAGAAAGAAACUGUGACAAAAAAUACUGUGAAAAUAAUUCCUGUGCACAAUCUUCUUUGGCCUCUUCUCAGGAAUCUGAACCAAAGAAAUAUGGCGGAAAAAUCAGAGGAAGAUCUAAAAGGAAAUCCUUUGAAUUUGAGGAUAUUCAGCACUUUCGAAAUCGGAACUCACAGACGAUUCGUGAAGAACUUGGAAGAAAUUCUGGGUCAGCACUUUAUUACACACAGUCUGAGGACAAUAUCUAUGAAGACAUCAUAUAUCCCACCAAAGAAAAUCCAUAUGAAGAUAUUCCAGUGCAGCCUUUACCUGUGUGGAGAUCCCCUUCAGCAUGGAGGCUGCCGCCUGCUAAAAGUGCUUUCAAAGCACCCAAGCUCCCUCCCAAACCUCAGUUUUUUCACCGGAAGACUAUGGAAGUAAAGAACUCACAAGCUUAUCUGCGGUCAAAGCUCACAAAAGAUACUACUUUGCCGGUCACUUUAACUGAAUGGAAGCUUUUCCGAGCUGGAGAAGUUGCAAACAGGAAAAGGAAAAAUCUUCCAAGGCUUGUAUUGAAAAUAGAUGACAUAUUUGAAUCUAAAAGAGGGAAGAAGAGGGUGAAGUUACAUUCUUACACUGGAAAGGAAGUACCUCCAACAAAAGGUGAAACCAGUGGGAACGAAAGUGAUGCUGAGUAUCUGCCAAAGAAUCGCCAUAAACGUUUAGCACAACUGCACCAGUCUUCCAAGAGGAAUCCUCACUACCAGACCUUGGAGCGGGAUCUUAUUGAAUUACAGGAGCAGCAGCUGUUUGAACUUUUUGUGGUGGUGUCUCUACAGAAGAAACCAUCAGGAAUAAGCUAUAUUCCCCAGGUCAUACAGCAAUUCCCUGGCAAGGAUGAUCAUGGCUAUAAGCAGUCCAAAGACACAGAAGAGAGACUCAAAGUUAUCCCAAAAUUUUGUUUUCCUGAUUCAAAGGACUGGGUGCCAACCUCAGAACUCAAGAGUGAAACAUUCUCCUUUGUCUUGACUGGUGAAGAUGGAAGCCGGUGGUUUGGCUACUGUAAGAAGCUCUUGCCGGAAGGCCGAGGAAAGCGACUCCCUGAGGUAUACUGCAUGGUUAGCCGCCUAGGCUGCUUCAAUCUUUUUUCAAAGAUUCUGGAUGAAGUAGAGAAGAGAAGAGAAAUGUCCCCAGCCCUUGUUUACCCAUUCAUGCGAAGUGUCAUGGAAGCUCCCUUCCCAGCUCCUGGACGCACCAUCACUGUUAAGAGUUACCUCCCUGGGGCUGGAGAUGGGUCCAUUGAGCUCUGCCGACCGCUAGAUUCCCGACUGGAACAUGUUGACUUUGAAUGUCUCUUUAAGUGCCUGAGUGUGUGUCAUCUCAUCCGGGUCUGUGCAUCUCUCCUUUUGGAGCGUAGGGUGAUCUUUGUUGCCAACAGCCUAAGCACCCUGUCAAAAUGUGGCCACGCUGUGGUAGCUACACUGUAUCCGUUCACCUGGCAGCAUACUUACAUCCCAGUCCUGCCAGCAUCUAUGAUCGACAUCGUGUGCUCACCUACUCCAUUCCUGAUUGGAAUCCUGUCUUGCUCCUUACCACAGCUCCAGGACCUACCCAUCGAAGAGGUGCUGAUAGUUGAUCUCUGUGCAGACAAGUUCUUACAGGAGGUAUCUGAUGAGGAUGAAAUUCUACCACCGAAACUUCAAGCUGCCCUGAUGCAGAUUUUGGAAGAACGAAAUGAAAUCUUGACUCAGGAGCAGAAUUUUUCACAAGAUCUCAUUCUAUCAGCCAGGCUGGAGUGCAAGUGGUACAAUCGUGGCCCAUUGCAGCCUCGGCCUCCUAGGCUCAAGCAAUCCUCCUUCCUCAGCCUCCUGAAUAGCUGGGACCACAGGCCUGUGCCACCACACUCAGCUAAGUAUUUAAUUUUUUGUAGAUAUGGGAGUCUCACUAUAUUGCCCAGCCUGGUCCUAAGCCCCUGGACUCAGGUGAGCCUCCUGCCUCAGUCUCCUGAAGUGUUGGGAUUACAGGUAUGAGCCACUGCAACCAGCUAAAAAUGAAUUUUAGAAGCAUUUAUUGAAUAAAACAGUAAGUUAGGAACAAUACAAUAUUUUGAAUACUGUUCAAAGACAUACAAAAACCUAAUAAUAUGCUCUUGGGGUUUUAUAUGUGUGUAGCAAAACUCUGAUGCAGAGCAAGGGAAUGAUAAAUGAAAAAUUACAAAUGAUGGUCACUCUAUUGGAAAGUAGGAGAAGAACGCCGCCAUUAGAGAGAGUCACACAGGGAACUUCAAAGAUAUUAGUAAUAUUCUGUUUCUAAGCUUUGUUUGUGGUGGAUAGUUUAUUCAUGUUGAUCUUAUAAAAUACUCAUACAUAUCAAAGAAUAUGUAGAGUGCAUACAUUAAAAAGGAAAAGAAUAAACUAUAGAAAAUAGAAAAACAAUUUUUAAAAGAAAGAAAAUAAGAUGUAACAUUGAGGCAAAAGUGUUGAAGAUGAAUGCAGUGUUGGGGCUGGGUAUGGUGGCUCACACCUAUGAUCUCAAGCAUUUUGGGAGGUCAAGGAAGGGUAAGUUCAAUACCAGCCUGAGCAACAUAGUAAGACUCUAUCUCUACAAAAAAAAUUAAUUAACAAAAAGAAAAAAAAGAUAAAUGCGGUGAUGGACAUGGAUCUUCAGCUGCAAAAGGAAAGAGAUGAGAAGGAAAGAGAUGAGAAGGAAGUCUGUUGGACAAAAGAUAACAAAAACCUAGAUUAGAAUCAAAGUGUAAUUCAGAAAGAGACCCUGGAACCAUCACCUGGUCAGCCCUGCUAGCUGCACAGAUAUGGACAGGCCAACUGAGAAAAGUGAGCCACCCACUAUUAGGCAACUGCUUUAUGGUAGAACUCUGACUAACCUUAGGUUCCUGAUUCCCAUCCUGGGUGGAUCCCACAGAAAAGAGCAAGAGACAUUGUGAAGGGGGAAUUAAAAAUAAAAGACUAUCUGGAUGUGGAAGAAAAAGGGGGAGUGUAAACUGAAUCUGAAGUUUGAGCCUGGGACCAGGAAGGCCAUGUAAUACAGUGUCUUAUAGGGAUUAAAAAAUCACCUGACUUGUGAGUCACUUACUAGAUGGGAUGACCCUGGAGAAUUUAUUUAAUCAUUUGGAACCUCAGUUUCCUCUGUAAAAGAAAAAUAAUAAUACCUAAUAGAUUAUUGUGUUUGUAAAAGUACUUAGCACAGUGCAACAUAUCUUUAGCACUCAAAUCAUUAUUUUUAUGAAAUAAUUAUAGUACAGUAUGAAAUGGCAGUGUCAGCCAGGCAUGGUGGCUCACAUCUGCAAACCCAGCACUUCAGAAGGCCGAGGUGGGAGAACUGUUUGAGCCCAAGAGUUUGAGACCAGCCUGGGCAACAUAGCAAGACUGUCUGUAUUUUGAAAAAAAAAAAAAAAAAAAAACCUUAUUAAAAAAUGGGAAUACUGAGAGGGAAAUUUCCCCUCUAAAUUUCUCAAAAUCAGUUGAUUUGGUGGGGAAAUAUAAUGGAUUUGGCUUUAGAUAUGUAUUGUUUGUUUAAUCAAUUCAUAGUCCAAGUUCCAAAAAAGACCUGAUAUAGUGACCUUUAGACUGAUGGAAUUUAUGUGCUAAUGGGACAGCCAAAUGGUAACCAACCACAGAUAGCCUGACAAUGUAGGUGAGAUAACAGGGCUGGAAAACUAAGGUUGGGAAUUACAGUAUUAUCAUAGCCAGCUCUUUCUCUGUGCCAAUUAGUUAGCCCUUUAAGGAAAGGAAUGUUGAAGAGAAGUGUCUGAGCACCAUACUCAGGAAGAGAAAGAAAGGGCAAGAGAAAAACAACUGCUUUGUCAUGAAGUCAGGAAAGGAAUCAGGAAAUCAGGAGAGCACAGAGUUGUGAGGAACAAGAGAAAUGAGGCAGCAUGGAGCUUAAAGGAGGAUAAAAAUAGAAGAGCAGAUUAAAUUUGGCUGGCUCUCACCGGUGGCCUUUGAAAGAGCAGUUACAGUGAAAUCAACAGAUGUGCAAGCCAGGACGCAAGAUGGAGAAGACUCUGAAGAUGUGACACUCAACUCUCUGGUGUCCGAAGCAUUUGUCAGGUUUUUUGUGGAGUUGGUAGGACAUUAUUCUUUGAGCAUGACUGUCACUGAGCGUGGGGAACGUGUUUUCCAAAGGGAACCCUUCCGUAAGUCCCAC